UGCACACAUGCACAUGUGAUUGUCUGUCUGUCUGUCUGUCUGUCUCUGUGGUGCUGCGAAAGAAGUUUCUGGAGAGGACACCUUGGAAGAUUCUUGCCAUAGGCUUUACCUGACACACAGACUUUCACUCCAUGGACUAUUCCUGUUCUUGCUCCAUACUCACCGAGGUCUGAGGAAAGAAACCUCCCAGUGAGGAAAGAUCCUGAAUCUCUAAGGUUUAUGAGUGGCUACAUCAGUGUCCUAGAAGUCCUGUAUCUAGAAUGAUGUCUACAGCACUGGCUGGCACAGAGUUCUAUUCUUAUGCCAUGCAAUACUGAGGUUUGGGCUCUAGGUGAGUCUCACCAUAUCUGGGCUGGGUAGUUAGCACAAACUGGAACUGGAGCAUGUCUUUCACCUUCAGAUCCUAUCAGAGCUGUUACAGGAAACCCACUACCCCUGGAUCCU
rnacentral:lncRNA from 1 species